GAUCAAAGAGACGGUGAUUACGCCAAUGUCUCAUCUGUGAUUCAUCUCAAAGUUAUUAACAAGCCAAGGCAACAUGAUGACCCAGAGGAGAGCUCAGACUACAAAAAUGUGAAUCUGAAAUCAGCCACAGGUCAUCAUCGGCAACACGAGACAAACAACUAAUGACAUCUUCUUUUGAGGAGACAAUAUGGAAGUUAUACAAACCAUGAAGAAAGAUGGUGAUUGACUGUCAGUGUGUGUUUUGACCAUAGCAAGAAAACUUUUA